AGUCUGUGUUCUCAAAGGGUUUAUGUUAAAGUGCACUUAAGUUUAGCAUUAUUUUUUUCUUCUUUAUAGUAGUGAUAAAGUUCAAGUGUGUAGAACCUUUUGUGGUACUGGAGAUUGAACCCAGGGGCUCUUAACCACUAAGCCACCUCCCAGCCCUUUUUAUUUGUGUUGAGAUGGAGUCUGUCUAGAUUGCUUAUAGCCUCACUAAGUUGCUGAGGUUAUCUUUGACCCUGCAAUCCUUCUUCCUCUGCUUCCUGAGCCACUGGGAUUAUAAGCAUGUGUGACUGUGCCCAGUUUAGAACCUUUUAAUUACUGAUAUGUAGCUUACUUCUUUAGGAUACUCCCAUGAUGUUCUUAUUUUCUCUGCAUGUUUUAUGCGUACCUUCCUACAAACAAACACACGCACAUACAUAUACAUAUACAACCAUACAUCUUCUCAACUCCCUUUGCAUGUUCACCUCACUCUGAUUUUGGCUACCUGUUAAGCAGGAUAAUUAAUUUUUUCC
rnacentral:lncRNA from 1 species